rfam:Pelagibacteraceae bacterium GOM-A1 A1_S1_12, whole genome shotgun sequence.
AAAUGAAUUAAGAGGCAACUCUUAACUGACCAUCUGGGGAAAAAUCGAGAGAUUCAAGCCCAGAGGGCAGAAAACCACGCAGAGUAGCGCUAAAAUUGCGGGGUGGAAGGCAUGGCGGUAGCGCAUACAACGACGUGCCAA